GCAAGUGCUCUGCCCCUGAGCUACAGCCCCGGCCCCUUUUGCUAAGUGCUUUAAGUGCUCUGCUCCCCUCCCCUUCCCACCCCACACUGUCCCCACUUCUCCCCUCCACACCAGGUCAGUGACAGAAGGAUGGUGCUGUCCCCAGCGGCUCCGAGCUCAGGCUCCCCUUUCUGCAGCCCGGAGAGGGGCGCUCUGGCUCCUGCUGCCAUGGAAACCAGAAGACUUGGGAGGGCACUCUGCUAUGGCAUCUUUGUUUGGGGUGAGGGUGGUGAUGGCUGAAUGCUGGGGAUGUUAUUGUUUUAAUCAAGCACUUACACGAUGGGCCAAGGACGAUGGCCUCCUUCACCUUAGCUCACGCGUUCCCUCAACCUGAGAUGGAGCUUCACUCUCCAUGAUUUAUUAUGAACCGCCACGCCCGGAAUCAAGCCCAGGGCCUCGCGCUCCCCUGAGCCUGUUCCCCAGGCCUGGGGUGCUUUGGGAGGGUGGCAUUGAUAAGACACCCAGCAGCAUCCAGCAGGCGCCUGUGCCAGAGCACGUUUGGCCCAUUACCCCCAGAAAACCACUUCUGGGGGGGCACCCAUUGUUUGCCAGGUCUCUUCUGAUUUCUGCUACCAAGAUGAGCAAAGACAGGGUGUUUGGUGGAAGGAAGGGAAAUGCAGCAUCUUUUAGUGACAUCCUAAGUGACCUUGAGCAAAGGCGUGAGGAAGGGAAAGCAGCUGUAGCGACUGCUCAGGAACCUGCAGGAAGACUGGCAGCGGCAGCCGCUCACGUGCGCCCUGGGUGAGUGUGUGCCCUGAGCUCUGCCCUUGGACCCUCAGCUAGAUCUUCACAUGGCACGGGGAGGAGGUGGUGCAGGGAGAAGGCGCCUCCUGCCCUAGAUCUCCACGUGGAAGUCCCAACCCUCCUGCAGUGGACAAUGGGGCCCUAAGAAAGAAAUUAGGGUUAAACGAGGUCAUAAGGGUGGCUCGGGGAUGRGGGAGAUGGCUGUCCCUUGUGGGGAGACGCCUGCGAGCUCUCCCUGGCUCUGCUUGUGCGUGAAGAAGAGCUCACGGACACACAGGAAGAAGGCAGCCGUGUGCAGGACAGGUCUGCUGGCCCCUCAAUCGUGAACUUCCCCAAACUGAAGAAAAUAAAUGUCUCUGUACGGGCUGCCAGCCUGCGGCAUUUUACUGAAGCAGCUUGAGCUAAGACGGGUGGUUACUCUCAUCCCCACGUAAGUUGAGGAAACUGAGUCGUAGAAAGGCAGUCGCAGGCCGUGCUGAUUUCCCUUUGCUGCUCCGGCUUUGGCCACCCGUCUGAGGUGCGGAGUCCGCGCAGCUCCCUACGGUGGUGAUUUCAUUGUGAACCUACCCCGGGCUGCUCUCUCCUGGCCUCCUUUCCCUUGCUGCUAUUUCUCCUCUGGAUUUCCUCUCUCCAGGUCCAUCUUCCACAGUCCUUUAGGUAAGAGUGCAGUAAAAGACUCCCAAGCCUCGGAAGCCUAGCGCUGCCCACACCAGCUGUCCGCCAUGGGGCUGUGCUCUCCACACUCCCUGGGUCCCGCCCCCUGGGAUUCGCUCCCACAGCCCCUGCUGCCCAUGCCUGGCCCUUGGCACUUCUGCCCAGACCUGGCACGUCCUUUCCCAGUGCAGAGGGCAGGGAGAGAGGGGGACUCCUCUAGCCCGUGUGAGCUUGUGCAAAGCAGAAAGGGGGGCCUGCCUGCCAUCACAGGCCUGGGAAGGAGAGGCUGCCCUCCCUCUGGUGGGUGCCUGGCUGGGCUGGGAGCAGCGCUGGUUCUGUCCAUGACCCAUGCAGGAUGCUGCACACCCACCAUGGCGGCCCUGGUUCUGAGCACACUCCAGUUCACCUAGCAGCACCAGGGCCAGCCACAGGGGAAGCCACAGCGGUCUCAUGGUCCCGAGGUCCCCGCAGUGGCUCUGCCUUAGCCUGGUGUUCUCCCAGGUCUGACAGUGGACAGAGGUGCCGGCUGUCCCUUCCCGGGGUGCCUUCACAUGUGUCUUCAUGCAGCUGGGGCUGGUGGGGCUGAGCUCCUACAGGGGAGCCACAUCUGCCUGCUGAUCUCUCCAGGUCUCUGGGAAGAGCCGCCUUUUCUUUGACGUUCUGAAAUCUGAAGUGCCAAGGACAGCUUCUAACUGUGGCCGCCUCUGACCCUGAACCCAUGCCAGGCUGUAAGAGCUCUGGUCUCUGUGUUUGGCUGUCUUUAUUUGGGUCCUAAUGCGACAUUCAUUUUAUUCCCAUGUUCAAGCUGUAUUUGAGUGACCUAAGUCUUCCCCGCUGGCAGCAGAUGGAGGCCAGCCGGAGCCCCACCCGUCCUGGAUGCCCAGUGCGCCCACGUGGUUCAGGAAUGCUGGGGACUGGAAAUAGCGCCCGCCGGCUGCCCGUGUUCUCCUGGCAACGGCCGUUCUUUCUCUACACCCUAAGGCUGCUCUCUCUUGAUUCUAGGGAUUUUUAAGAAUCGUGUGGCAGCACAUCAAAGGCACGUUGUUUUACAAGUGUCCGCCGUCCCCCGGUGUGAUGGACGCCGCCCGUCGGGAUAUCCGCCCCCUGCGCUGGGCAGGUCGGGCAGCCUCGACUUUUCUUGGUCUCUCUUUCCUUCCUGUGACCAGCCACUGGGUCAUUCCUGGGAAUCCUCCCCACCUCCAUCCCAGCAGGAGCCUUCCGACCUGGGAGGGAAGUGGAGCCUGUGUCCCUGGACAGGAGGUCCCCUGGAAGCAAGACGUGCAGGGAGGCAGGAGAAGCACGCUGUGGUCCGCGACCCCUCACGGCUCCUGGGGUCCCUGAAAGUCCCUCACCUGUUCAGGAUCUGCCCUUCUUCUUUCUGGUGUGAGCAGCAGCACUGGUCAGUUCAGUUGUUCUGCCCCGAGGGGGCAGAUGUUGGGGCCGGCCUGACUGCGGGUUGCCUCACAUCUGUGGUCAGCGCAGCAGCUGCCCGGGUCUCUGUGGGCCUCUGGAGCAGGAGGAAGGCUGGGGCAUGGUUUGGAAGCACCUGGUCCCAGCAUCAGACCCUGCUUAGCUCAGAGCUGGCCCGGCUAGGGCCCAGCCAGGCCAGGCCUCUCCCCUCACCCAGAGUGAGUGGGGUGGGUGGCCACACCCAGCGGCAAGCCCUGCCCAUGGGCGAGUAGAGGUGGACCCUGGGUCACACGCGUAGGUUUCCAUUUUGGUUUUGUUUUUCCAAAAAGAAGGUGACUUUCUUCAGGCUGCCGCCACAGCAGGGCAUGCAAGUCGGGCCUGUUUUGCAUUUUGUGUUGUCCUCUCUCUCUGCCAUGGUUGGGACAUCACAGGCGACGCCGCCCUGGCCGCCCCAGCCCUCCGUGCACCACUCGGGCCCAGCAGUGUUUAGGUGGUUCCCGCAUUCACUGGUCCUCCCCUGCCCGGCCCCGACCGAUGCCGACACAAUGGUGCUGGAGAGGUGAGAGGCCCUCGCCCCAGCACCUCGCUGCCCGUGUCCGUCCAUCCACCAUGCACACCCCCACUGAGCUGCCCCACUCUGGGACUUCCCCAGGCAUGGGGGGCUCUGCAGUGCACAAGCAGACCAACCUCUGUAACCUGAAGACAAGCCACCGCACAAUGGCCAGGGCCGCGAGGGCAGGUGGGGUCAGAGGGCACCAGGGAGGUGGCUGCUGUCUGUCAGGUGCUGGGGAGGACUCCCAGAGAAGGUGGCCCCUGGACAGGGAAACAGCAGGCGCAAAGGCCACAGGGGGACACUCUCCCCGAGUCCCAGCGGGGAGACCCUGUGACUGAGGGGAGUGACCCCGGGGAGAGGGAGAAGUGAGGGUGGAGAGGUGGUGGGGCAGAGCCCCUGGGGCGCCCUAGGCAGCUCUAAGGCCUGAGCAUGUCCUCCUCCAUAGCCUUGGGAGGCUGUGGAACCGCUCGGCCACCACGGGCCACCACGGGCCACCACGGGCCACCAGCAAGGCGGUACACCACAGGGCCCAGGUCUGCCUUCCAAACUGACCCCUGUGUGAGUGGCUGUCACCUGCCUGAGCAGGUCAACAACAGGAGGCCAGUGCCCCUGGGAAGGAGCACCCCACACACCAGGGUGGGGCGGCUGGAAGUCACUCCUGACACGUCUUCUGCUGGCAGAGCCACGGGGCUUGCCGACGGACCAGAGGUGGGACGCAGAGAGACGUCACAGAUGAGCCAGGGCUUUGCUUGAAGGACCAAUGAAGAGAUGUUGAGGUCUGGCCUCGCCAGUCUGGGUGACGGAGUCAAGCUGGGUUUGGGGAGCCCCGCUGCCCCUGCCUACAGAUCUGCUCUCUGUCCCCACGUCCCACUGGAAGUGCUCCCAGGCGUGGACUUGAGAUUGGUUGGAAGGCCUUUUCCUGUGAAACUUGUCCAGUGAGGAGGCUGUGCCAAGAGUCCCACCCAGACUCCGGAGGGGCUUGCCGUAUUUCUUCAUCUUGCUCACGUUUCCUUUUUUCUUUGCCCAUAAUAUUCUAGAGCAAAUUCCCGGGGUCACGUCGCUUUACCAUCUGCUUGUCUAAAACAGACCGUUUUCUUACAUAAGCACAGUGC